rnacentral:rRNA from 1 species
UACGUAGGGGGCUAGCGUUGUCCGGAAUCAUUGGGCGUAAAGAGCGUGUAGGCGGCUUGGUAAGUCCGCUGUGAAAGUCCAGGGCUCAACCCUGGAAUGCCAGUGGAUACUGUCAAGCUAGAGUCCGGAAGAGGCGAGUGGAAUUCCUGGUGUAGCGGUGAGAUGCGCAGAUAUCAGGAGGAACACCAAUGGCGAAGGCAGCUCGCUGGGACGGUACUGACGCUGAGACGCGAAAGCGUGGGGGAGCAAACAGG